rnacentral:lncRNA from 1 species
CACCACCCACCUUUGCGUUUUUGUGUUUUUAAAAUUUUAUUUUGAAACAGGGUCUUGCUAAAUUGCCCAGGCUAGCCUUGAACUUUGAAUCCUCCUACCCUCAACCUACCGGACUACCUGGAAGGACAGGACUACACCACCGCGCAGGCGCAGCAAUGUCUUUCUUAUUUAUUAAUUUACUUGUUUGUUUAUUUUACUGGGAGUUGAAUCCGGGGGCGUUCUACUACUGAGCUACACUCCUAUCCCCGCCCACCUUUUUGGGGGUAUGGGGUGGACAGAGGCUCACUAAAUUGCCCAGGCUCCUCCGGAAUUUGCGCUUCUCCUGCCUCAGUCUCUAGAGUCACUGAAAUCACUGGUGUUUGCUACCACGCCCAGCAGCGUUGUCAUUUUUAAAGAGGGGCGGAUCUCCAGGCUGAGCCAGUCUCAGCAAUUUGGCUAGACCUUGUCGCAAAAUUUAGAAAAGGUUUUGGAGAUGUGGCUCAGUGGUUAAAAAAAAAAAAAGUGGCGCGGGAGCUGUAAGGACCUUUUAGCUACCACAUCUGGUCCCCAUAGCACUUCAUCCAUCUACUAUAAACCCUUAUACCCCUGAAUUGAAUUUGUUUACAUAUCUGUUUUCCCCAUAUAACUAAGGGGAGGAAAGGUUUCUAAAUCAUUGCAGUUCUUUUUUUUUUAUUUUUUUAUUAGUUGCUCAAAACAUUACAAUGAUCUUGACAUAUCAUACAUUUGAUUCAAAUGGGGUACAUAAUCUUAUUUUUCCACGUGUACAGAUUGCAGGAUCACUUUGGUUAUACAGCCACGUUUAUACACAGGGCGAUACUAGUGUCUAUUGUAUUGUGCUACCAAUCAUUGCAGUUCUUGAGCCCAUUAGUAAACCUGACACACGGUAGGAGUUUAGAAAAGGUUUGACCAAACAAUAAUUUUAUCUUCCAAAGAUUGGGAGACAAACUAAUACGAUUUGGGUUAAUAAGAAUAUUCGAAGUCUGAUGCAGUGGAGCAUGCCUAUAAUCCUAACGACUCCUCAGGUUGAGGUAGUAAGAUCUCCACAUCCAAAAGCCAGCAUAGGCUACUUAGGAAGACCCUGUCUCAAAAUAAAAAAUAAAAAGGGGACUAAGUGGUAAAGUGUCCCUGCAUUCAAUCCCCAGUACCAAAAAUAAAUAAUAUUCAAAAAUGCUUUGUUCAAGAAUUAUAGGUAACCAUUGCAAGUUACAUACGAGUAAAAUUUUCAUAUCUCUAAAGGAAAAAAG